GUUUGCUUCUGAACACAAAAUAAAUCACUAUACAAGAAAUAUCACCAAAUUCUUUUCAUGCAUAGAGCUCUCCAGCCAUAUAAGCAAAACAUCUCAAAGGAUUCAUGUAGUUUUAUGUGUGUGUAUGUGUGUGUGUGUG